GCGGCAGUGCUCUCUCCCCAAGACCGUGAAGUCUUGCCUAUCUCAUAUCAACCGCCUCUUACUCCGGCGAACGAAACUUUACCUCCCGCGUGAAUAAAACCAAACCCCGCAUAGUAUCUCAUUUUGACAACCACUCGCCUCUCUUCCACUGCGACUGUUUCAGCUGCUACACGAGUUACUGGGUCAGAUGGGACUCUUCACCUAGUCGCCAGCUGAUUCAUGAAAUCAUCGACGCUUUCGAAGACAGCUUGGAGAAGAAGAAGACGCAAACGAAAAAGAAAAAGAACGUAGCUGGAAAGAAAAACCGGAGAAAGCCUUCAGGGAAGUCUUCAGCUCUUGCUAGUCCUAGCUUUGGUCUGAACGAUUCAGAGGUUCCGAGUCGACUCAGUGACGAGUCCAUCACAAGUUCGAGUUCAAGCGAGUUGGUUGAUGGUACUUGUAGUUGCAACGACAGUUUGGAAACUACGGCGGAGUUACAGACUGGGAAGGAUGGUGAAGAGGCGGCGGAGGAGAAGGGGUCAUUUAAAAGAUUUGUGAGUUUCAUUGGUGAGAAAGUUUUUGGUGUUUGGGGAUAAGAAAAAUUACAAGAAAUAAAAAAAGUAGAAAUGUUUUUUCCUUCUAUUUAUUCUCUUUGAUCUUUCUAGGACAAACAUGUUUUGAUUACCGAAAGUUUUCAUGUGUUGCAUUAACUACAGUAUAAUGCGACAAAAGUAUCAUUGUAUUAUAACAUCUUGAUUACAUCAAAAUAAGAUUAGUGUAGUUGCACGUAUUUAAUA